rnacentral:rRNA from 1 species
GGGCUUGACAUCCCACGAACCUGCUGGAAACAGGGGGGUGCCCGCAAGGGAGCCAGGAGACAGGUGCUGCAUGGCUGUCGUCAGCUCGUGUCGUGAGAUGUUGGGUUAAGUCCCGCAACGAGCGCAACCCUCACCCCUUGUUGCCAUCAGGUCAUGCUGGGCACUCUAGGGGAACUGCCCCGGUCAACGGGGAGGAAGGCGGGGAUGACGUCAAGUCAUCAUGCCCCUUACGUCCUGGGCUACGCACGUGCUACAAUGGCCGGUACAAAGGGAUGCAACGCCGUGAGGCAGAGCCAAACCCAAAAAGCCGGUCUAAGUUCAGAUUGGAGUCUGCAACUCGACUCCAUGAAGGAGGAAUCGCUAGUAAUCGCGUAUCAGCACGACGCGGUGAAUACGUUCCCGGGCCUUGUACACACCGCCCGUCACCACGAAAGCCAGCUGUACUCGAAGUCGCUGAG